AAUGAGAGAAAACAGUAACAGAUUUACUAUGAAAAUGUAUUUAGUUAACUUUUCCCCAGAUGGCUCAUUUUAGCCGCUAACCACUUUUUAUUAUAUAAACAACUAGAGAAACGUAUGGCAAAUCUGGGGCACGUUUAGGCAGUGAAUCACCGGUUUUGACAUUUGUGGCAAUCUUUUAAUAUCAAGUGAUAACAGACAAGUGUGCAGUCAUGGCCUAACGGUUAUAGAGUCAGACUUGUAAUCCAAAGGUUGUGGGUUCGUGUCUUGGUACUGGCAGGGAUUGUAGGUGACCAGUGCUCUCUUCCAGUCUCAAUACCACAACUAAGGUAAGACCUUUGAGCAAGAACUGAACCCCCAACUGCUCCCUGGGCACCACAGCAAAAAAUGGCUACCCACUGCUCCGGGUGUGUGUGAGUUCACUACUCACUGCUGUGUGUGUGUGUGCACUUGGACGGGUGAAAUGCAGAGCACAAAUUCUGAGUAUGGGACACUACACAUCAAGUCACUUUAUUAUCACAACUAGAAUUAAACAUAACUUUUUUUUUUAUAAAAUUCCUUGCAUGGGAGAUAUUUAAAAACUUCCUCAUCUAUGUCUGUGCUCUAAUUCCAUUCUGGCUUCAAGCUUUGAGACACUUUCCAUUUCCUUUUCAGCGAUGACUGAAGCUGUGUGUCUGUCCCUCGUGUGCCGGUGGUCUGCAUUAAAUAAGGCAGAGUGUGUUUAAAGCGCGUCAGGCCUCUCUGGCCUCAGGCAGCAGGUGAAGGAGCUUGUCCUGUAAUGUCCUGCUGACCUUUUCUUCUGUCUCAAACCUGAGUGCAGAACCUACUGCAGGUCCUGCUGGAUUUAUGGAGUUUAGACUCUUACAGGAGACGGCAGGAGAAGAAACCUGCUGGAAAUUGGAUUGCGGCUGCUGGCGUCCCUUGAGUCACUGACUUUUAAUUGGACGGCUGCUUUUUGUUCAGAUAUUAGCAUGAGUAAUGUGGCUCUAUGACAACCUCCAUGACUUCUCAAGAGUCCAUUGUGAAAGUCGAGCAGAGCGGGAGGAAGUGAGAAAAGGAACACCCUGUGAGCUGUCUUUCAACACCUUGAGCUUCUCUCCGAUCCUCACGCCACUCGUCUCAUUAAACUCCCACUGUGCGUCCAUGAAAGAGCCUCACAGUAGUUAAAAAUAAUGGCUUUUGCUCCUUCGCACCUGGCAGUGAUUAAGAUUUCCUUAUAAAUAGCUUUUCAUUAUGAAGUUAAUCCAAGGAAAUGUAAUUUGUUACUGAAAGACCAGUUUCACCCAUUUACAUUUUAAAAUGUAUAAUAUCCUUUUCAAAUCCUGUCGGAAUAAUAGGAUGGAUAAGGAAAGAACUAAAACAGAGAAUAUGUUUAAGCGCUGUUUUAUUUCAAAUCCUCUCUCUAUACACGUAGAAACAUCGCAUCCUUGUGGUGCGGCUGACACAGAAGAGCAUACGCAGCAUACGGUGAUAUAGAGAGACACAGAGGAGACCGCUGACAAAGGAAUUGUUGAAUAAAGUCAUUAUUUUUGUUUUCUUCA
ensembl:lncRNA